UUAAGCGACUAAGCGUACACGGUGGAUGCCCUGGCAGUCAGAGGCGAUGAAGGACGUGCUAAUCUGCGAAAAGCGUCGGUAAGGUGAUAUGAACCGUUACAGCCGGCGAUGUCCGAAUGGGGAAACCCAGUGCAAUUCGUUGCACUAUCGUUAACUGAAUACAUAGGUUAACGAGGCGAACCGGGGGAACUGAAACAUCUAAGUACCCCGAGGAAAAGAAAUCAACCGAGAUUCCCCCAGUAGCGGCGAGCGAACGGGGAGCAGCCCAGAGUCUGAAUCAGCUUGUGUGUUAGUGGAACGGUCUGGAAAGUCCGACGGUACAGGGUGAUAGUCCCGUACACCAAAAUGCACAGGCUGUGAACUCGAAGAGUAGGGCGGGACACGUGGUAUCCUGUCUGAAUAUGGGGGGACCAUCCUCCAAGGCUAAAUACUCCUGACUGACCGAUAGUGAACCAGUACCGUGAGGGAAAGGCGAAAAGAACCCCGGCGAGGGGAGUGAAAAAGAACCUGAAACCGUGUACGUACAAGCAGUGGGAGCACCUUCGGGUGUGACUGCGUACCUUUUGUAUAAUGGGUCAGCGACUUAUAUUCUGUAGCAAGGUUAACCGUAUAGGGGAGCCGCAGGGAAACCGAGUCUUAACUGGGCGUUAAGUUGCAGGGUAUAGACCCGAAACCCGGUGAUCUAGCCAUGGGCAGGUUGAAGGUUGGGUAACACUAACUGGAGGACCGAACCGACUAAUGUUGAAAAAUUAGCGGAUGACUUGUGGCUGGGGGUGAAAGGCCAAUCAAACCGGGAGAUAGCUGGUUCUCCCGAAAGCUAUUUAGGUAGCGCCUCGUGAAUUCAUCUUCGGGGGUAGAGCACUGUUUCGGCUAGGGGGUCAUCCCGACUUACCAACCCGAUGCAAACUACGAAUACCGAAGAAUGUUAUCACGGGAGACACACGGCGGGUGCUAACGUCCGUCGUGAAGAGGGAAACAACCCAGACCGCCAGCUAAGGUCCCAAAGUCAUGGUUAAGUGGGAAACGAUGUGGGAAGGCACAGACAGCCAGGAUGUUGGCUUAGAAGCAGCCAUCAUUUAAAGAAAGCGUAAUAGCUCACUGGUCGAGUCGGCCUGCGCGGAAGAUGUAACGGGGCUAAACCAUGCACCGAAGCUGCGGCAGCGACACUAUGUGUUGUUGGGUAGGGGAGCGUUCUGUAAGCCUGCGAAGGUGUGCUGUGAGGCAUGCUGGAGGUAUCAGAAGUGCGAAUGCUGACAUAAGUAACGAUAAAGCGGGUGAAAAGCCCGCUCGCCGGAAGACCAAGGGUUCCUGUCCAACGUUAAUCGGGGCAGGGUGAGUCGACCCUAAGGCGAGGCCGAAAGGCGUAGUCGAUGGGAAACAGGUUAAUAUUCCUGUACUUGGUGUUACUGCGAAGGGGGGACGGAGAAGGCUAUGUUAGCCGGGCGACGGUUGUCCCGGUUUAAGCAUGUAGGCUGGUUGUCCAGGCAAAUCCGGAUAAUCAAGGCUGAGGUGUGAUGACGAGGCACUACGGUGCUGAAGUAACAAAUGCCCUGCUUCCAGGAAAAGCCUCUAAGCAUCAGGUAACAUCAAAUCGUACCCCAAACCGACACAGGUGGUCAGGUAGAGAAUACCAAGGCGCUUGAGAGAACUCGGGUGAAGGAACUAGGCAAAAUGGUGCCGUAACUUCGGGAGAAGGCACGCUGGUGUGUAGGUGAAGCCCCUGCGGGUGGAGCUGAGACCAGUCGAAGAUACCAGCUGGCUGCAACUGUUUAUUAAAAACACAGCACUGUGCAAACACGAAAGUGGACGUAUACGGUGUGACGCCUGCCCGGUGCCGGAAGGUUAAUUGAUGGGGUUAUCCGUAAGGAGAAGCUCUUGAUCGAAGCCCCGGUAAACGGCGGCCGUAACUAUAACGGUCCUAAGGUAGCGAAAUUCCUUGUCGGGUAAGUUCCGACCUGCACGAAUGGCGUAAUGAUGGCCAGGCUGUCUCCACCCGAGACUCAGUGAAAUUGAACUCGCUGUGAAGAUGCAGUGUACCCGCGGCAAGACGGAAAGACCCCGUGAACCUUUACUAUAGCUUGACACUGAACAUUGAGCCUUGAUGUGUAGGAUAGGUGGGAGGCUUUGAAGCGUGGACGCCAGUCUGCGUGGAGCCAACCUUGAAAUACCACCCUUUAAUGUUUGAUGUUCUAACGUUGGCCCCUUACCGGGGUUGCGGACAGUGUCUGGUGGGUAGUUUGACUGGGGCGGUCUCCUCCCAAAGCGUAACGGAGGAGCACGAAGGUUAGCUAAUCCUGGUCGGACAUCAGGAGGUUAGUGCAAUGGCAUAAGCUAGCUUGACUGCGAGCGUGACGGCGCGAGCAGGUGCGAAAGCAGGUCAUAGUGAUCCGGUGGUUCUGAAUGGAAGGGCCAUCGCUCAACGGAUAAAAGGUACUCCGGGGAUAACAGGCUGAUACCGCCCAAGAGUUCAUAUCGACGGCGGUGUUUGGCACCUCGAUGUCGGCUCAUCACAUCCUGGGGCUGAAGUAGGUCCCAAGGGUAUGGCUGUUCGCCAUUUAAAGUGGUACGCGAGCUGGGUUUAGAACGUCGUGAGACAGUUCGGUCCCUAUCUGCCGUGGGCGCUGGAGAAUUGAGGGGGGCUGCUCCUAGUACGAGAGGACCGGAGUGGACGCAUCACUGGUGUUCGGGUUGUCAUGCCAAUGGCACUGCCCGGUAGCUAAAUGCGGAAGAGAUAAGUGCUGAAAGCAUCUAAGCACGAAACUUGCCCCGAGAUGAGUUCUCCCUGAGACUUUAAGUCUCCUGAAGGAACGUUGAAGACGACGACGUUGAUAGGCCGGGUGUGUAAGCGCAGCGAUGCGUUGAGCUAACCGGUACUAAUGAACCGUGAGGCUUAACCUU
rnacentral:rRNA from 1 species